ensembl:lncRNA LOC108350353 uncharacterized LOC108350353
CUUGCGCAUGCGUACUGCCCAUAGCCGUUUCUGGAGCAGGUUAACUGACUUCUGUUUACUGUCAAGUGUUAAGGAUCGCUGUAAGCAUUUUCUGCUUACUUUUAUAGGGAAACGUCUUCAGCUUUACUGCCAUAUCAGAAAGAAGAGUUCACCGCAACUAUUAUUUGCUACAUGGACAUACCAAACGCUUUUUAAACUACUAUCUAAAAUCCCAGAUUAGCGAAGCUCUCAGACCUAAUCAGAGAAGUGUUUGUUUGUUUGUUUGUUUGUUUGUUUUUACUGCAGCAAUGGUUAAUACAGAAACUAAUAACUGGCCAAAGUGCAGAGAUGAAGUGUCUGUGGAGUGCUCAGCCACAGUGGGACAUUGUACAUAACUUUUAUUCUCCUGUUGUAUUUGUUGUCUGGGAGGCUUACUAACUCAAGUCAGCUAAUCUAGGCCUAGUCCUGGAAGCUUAUAGCCUCUGUUUAAUCUAAUCUAGGCCUAGAACGUUUUCAGCCUCCGAGACUUCCUGCUGAAUGCACUCCUGCUUUCUAGUUCUUUCUGAUCGUUGGAUGGCUAUUCUGGCUCAGACUACUCUCCAAGCUGACUGAUUCAAUCUGGCUUCUCUUAGCUUCCGACUGAACUGCUCUGGUAGGCGUGGUAUUAAUUUAAGCAAUCUGUACUGAUCUCCUGGCUCCUCCUUGUUCUCUGACUCAUUCUGUCUUCACCUGUCUCUAUAAAACUUUCUCAGUAAAACUGCCUCUUUACCUCCUCUUGAGAGUUGGGCAUGUCCUAUCCUGUCAAAUCUUUUUUCUGAUUCGUCACUUUGCCUGACAUUCAAUUAGACAUCACUUUCAAACAUGGCUGCUUCCUUUCACCAACUAACUUUACCUUCGUUGUUUGAGAUUAAAGGUUUGUAUUUCGGGCUCGUCUGUAUUUCAGUCGGAGGGAUUAAAGGUGUGAAUUAAGGACUAAGCCACACCACAACUAAAAACAGUGUGAUCAAAUACCCAGCAGCAGGACACAUCACACCUUCACUGAAAGGACCAUCAAUGACAUUGGGAACAGUACCUUCUGGACAUGACAAGCUCCCUGCAUUCAUGAAAUCUCACUACCUCUGGUUACCUGUACAAGAAGCACACAGACGAAGCCAGUCAACAUUCCAGAAAGGAAGCAGGAGGAGCUCACAAGCCCCAGUUGGUAAAUGAGAAGUUACUUACAGUUGGUGUCUACUGGGUAGAGGGAGAAUGGGUUUACCUUAAGGGUAUGGCAAGUCAACCAUCUCCAGUGGAUGGCCUCACACCCAGGAAUGUAUGGGCAACACAAACUGGAUCAAAUUUUUUGAGGAAGGGGGCUAGUCAGAAACUUGGAAGAGGGUAGGGAUAGGUCUGGGAUGAGUUAGGGGAGAUGUGAGUGUGACCAGGAUACACUGUAUGUAUGGAGUGGUUCACUAAUUUAAAAAAAAAAAAGUCAAUUACCAAAUACCAAUUCUAACUUUCUGUGAGUCUUUGGAUACCAGACCUCGUCUUGCUGUUUCUUUCCAUUAGUAAGUGCCCAACUUCUGAGUAUUACUAUGAGACUCAAAUGGGUUAAUAAUGUGUGAUGAACACCAACAGCACGGGGCUCAACAUAUCACAACCCAUGUUAAUUGACAUGCUCUUCACCCACAGUGAUAGCAGCCAUAUUCAGGACUGGUAGACGGUUUGGGGAGGGAUGUGAGAUUAACUUUCUAG